rnacentral:rRNA from 1 species
GAUGAACGCUGGCGGCGUGCUUAACACAUGCAAGUCGAACGGUGAAGGCGGAGCUUGCUCUGCUGGAUCAGUGGCGAACGGGUGAGUAACACGUGAGCAAUCUGCCCCUGACUCUGGGAUAAGCGCUGGAAACGGCGUCUAAUACUGGAUACGAGCUGCGAAGGCAUCUUCAGCAGCUGGAAAGAACUUCGGUCAGGGAUGAGCUCGCGGCCUAUCAGCUUGUUGGUGAGGUAACGGCUCACCAAGGCGUCGACGGGUAGCCGGUCUGAGAGGGUGACCGGCCACACUGGGACUGAGACACGGCCCAGACUCCUACGGGAGGCAGCAGUGGGGAAUAUUGCACAAUGGGCGAAAGCCUGAUGCAGCAACGCCGCGUGAGGGACGACGGCCUUCGGGUUGUAAACCUCUUUUAGCAGGGAAGAGGCGAAAGUGACGGUACCUGCAGAAAAAGCGCCGGCUAACUACGUG